AGUGAACGCUGGCGGUAGGCCUAACACAUGCAAGUCGAACGGCAGCACAGUAAGAGCUUGCUCUUACGGGUGGCGAGUGGCGGACGGGUGAGGAAUACAUCGGAAUCUACUUUUUCGUGGGGGAUAACGUAGGGAAACUUACGCUAAUACCGCAUACGACCUACGGGUGAAAGCAGGGGAUCUUCGGACCUUGCGCGAUUGAAUGAGCCGAUGUCGGAUUAGCUAGUUGGCGGGGUAAAGGCCCACCAAGGCGACGAUCCGUAGCUGGUCUGAGAGGAUGGUAAGCCACAAUGGAACGUAGACACGGUCCAGGCUCCUAAGGGAGGCAGCAGUGGGGAAUAUUGGACAACGGGGGCAAGCCUGAUCCAGCCAUACCGCGGGGGUUAAGAAGGCCUUCGGGUUGUAAAGACCGUUUUUUGGGAAAGAAAAGCAGCAGGUUAAUACCCCGCUGUUCUGACGGUACCCAAAGAAUAAGCACCGGCUAACUUCGUG
rnacentral:rRNA from 1 species